UACGUAGGGGGCAAGCGUUGUCCGGAAUCAUUGGGCGUAAAGCGCGUGUAGGCGGCCCGGUAAGUCCGCUGUGAAAGUCCAGGGCUCAACCCUGGGAUGCCGGUGGAUACUGUCGGGCUCGAGUCCGGAAGAGGCGAGUGGAAUUCCUGGUGUAGCGGUGAAAUGCGCAGAUAUCAGGAGGAACACCGAUGGCGAAGGCAGCUCGCUGGGACGUGACUGACGCUGAGGCACGAAGGCCAGGGGAGCAAACGGG
rnacentral:rRNA from 1 species